CAAUAAUGAAUUUAGGAAAUUUUUAAUACUAUCAAUAUUUUUUAAAGUUUAAUCAAAUAUGCUAGAGUAGAAAAUGAAUUCAAUUUUUUUCUACAAUUUGGAUUACAAAAUAAUUUUCAUAUAAAGAGGUGAUCAAAGAAUAUGUAAUCAAAAUGUAGGAAACAGUAUUACAGAGAUGUGCUAGAUGUUUAAUGAUAAGAAAUGUUACUUUUCUGAAUUUGGUAAUAUUGUUAUUAGUUUUUAAAUGCAUAAUUGAUGUGACAUCUUCUCAUAUUAUAAGUACUUUAAGUAUAAUUUUAAGUAUAAGUACUUAUAAGUAUAAUUUUGUGUUUUAAUUUUGGAUAGUCUCCAAGUUUCAUAAAAUUUGAAUUCAUCCUGAACGCUAGAAGAUCUUGAUCAGUUCAGCUAAAUAAAAAUAGUCUGUUUUUUCAAAAGAGCAAGACUUUAUAUUCUGGUGCAUAACUGUGAUGCUGGCAUUCAAAGAUGGCACUUAAUGAACCUGCAGAUAUUUUUCUCAGAGCCAUACAACAUGGACUCCCAAGCUGCAGGGCAAGUGUGUCUUGAGAUGCUCUGAUAUUAGAAGGGAUAAUUUUAUUAUUUUAGGAAUUGUUCUAGUAUCCAAUAGGAAGAGUUCUAAUCCCUGUUGAAUUUCAUAUUCUGUCAGAGUUUUUGAGCAGAGACCCCCUAAGCCAAGUGCACUGUGAGCUAUCUCCGUGGCCUGCACCUGUUGGACAGAGAGCCAUAUGCUCCACCCUGAAAUAAGUUAUGUUGGGCAAACACUGUGGCAUAUGUUCUGACUUCUGCCUCUGAACUUCUAGUUUGUGUUCAAUAUAGUUGUUAAUUGAAAAGAGAUAGUUUUUCAUUUUAUGCGAGGCAAAAGUGAAUGGCAAAUAUGUUUAAGUUUAAAUUUCACCUAUUAGCAUAUUUUUAUCUCAUAACUGAGUUUUGCUAUACUUACUUCACUUCCCCAACUUAUUGCUUUAAAAUAAACAUUUCUCUCAGAGCAAUUCAAUUUUAAGACGAGAGAGAUGUUUAAUAAUCAAGAAUAACAAUUACCCAAAAUAUAUUCUCCUCUUCAUUUGAGGACAUACUCCCUGGACCAUAUCCCAACUGCAAAUAGGUUGGUUAGCAAAAGAAAUGUUUUAUUCAUUCCUCUCUAAUUAGAAUUCAGGAAAUAGAGUUCCCAAAAGAUGAGUAAAUAUAUUCCUUUAUUUUCACAUUGUACCAUUGUUGAAUUUAUGGUGUUGGAGAAAGUACCAGAAUAGCUAUUCACAAUUUAUUAGUAUUCACUGCAAGAACUGACCUGAACCUCAUGAUAAAAUAAUCUUCUUAAAUACCUGAACAUUAAUAUGUGUUUUAUUUUCAGUGAAAUAUGCACAUAUAAAUUUUUCCAAGAUAAUGUUUGUCUUUGAAAGUUCAUCUUUACUUUUGGAAGUAUUUUCUAGAAUUCUUAUAAUCUAAUUCUAAUUUCCUAACCAAUUAUUCCAGUGUAAUAGGAAGUAUUUAACCUAGAAGUUUUAGUUUUAAAUGGAAAAUCUUUUGAAUAUAGUUUCUCUGAAAACCCAGUAUAUUUUAUUAUGUUUAAACAUUUUUCCCUCUCUGUUGGCACAAUAAGUCAUGUGCUAUUAGAUCAUAGCACACUUUCUUUCUCCAUAGAAUUUAGUUCAUCUGUAUUCUAUAGAAAUUAGUCUAGAACCAUGUUUCAAUUUUAGUGCUGUCAGUAUCUAUUAUUCAAGUUACUAAUGUGGUUGUGAAUUGAUGAACAAGAUUAAAUGUUUUGACCAUCUUCUUAAACAUUAAGUUCGUGUUUACUCACCAUUCACACUAAAUCUUACACAAGGAUAUAAUGGAAAUGAAUUCUGUUUAGCAAGUGUCUUAGUCAUCUUUCCAUCACUGGACAAAAUACCUGAAAUAAACAACUUAAAAGGAGAAAAGACUUAUUUUUCACAGUUUCAGAAAUUUCAAUCCAUAGUCUGUCAACUCCAGUGCUUUUCGGCCUGUGGCAAGGCAAAACAUAAUGGCAGGGAACAUAUGGUGGAGCAAAAUUCUCAACUCAUGGCUUCUGAAAAGCAAAAGAAUAAGCUUGUUUUUAUAAAAAAAAAAAAGAAAGAAAGAAAGAAAAAGAAAAAAAAAGAAAGGAAGAAAGAAAAAGCUCCUCUCCCCAAACCCAUUAAGCUUGAAUCCAUAAGUGGAUUAAUCCGCUCAUGGGGUCAGCGCCCCUGUGAUCCAAUCACCUUCUAAAGACUCCCAUCUCUUAACACUGCUGCACUGGCAACCAGGCAUUCAACACAUGAGCUCUUAGAGGACAUUUAAAAUUCAAACUAUAGCUUUCCACCUCCGGCCCCCAAAAGACUCAUGUCCCUCUCACAAUGCAUACUGCAUUCAGUUCAUUUCUGAGAGUUCCCAUAGUGUAAAUGGUUCCACAAUUGCUCAAAGUCCAAAGUCUCUUCUGAUCUUCAAGGCAAACUUCUACCUGUGAGCGCACAUAAAACAACAACAAAUAAUUUUAUACUUCCAAGAUACAAAGGUACAGAGUAAAUAUUCCCAUUCUAAAAAGGGAGGAAUGAGGCAAAGAAAGGAAGGAUCAGACCAAAGCAAGUCCAAAACCCAGCAGGGCAAUCAUCGUAUAGCUCCAUGUUCAGCACCUAAGCACCUGGUUGCCUAAUGUACACUCCAAAGGACUUGAGCAUCCCUGCUUCUAUUGCCUUGCCAGCUGAAGCCAUAUUGCCUCUCUUUUGGGUUGGCUCUAUUCAUGGACUAAAUCUUCCUGGGAUCCCCACCGAAGCUUCAACUUCACUUUCAUGGCUGUCUGCAUCAUCUUCUCAGGGGAUGCUUGCAGGGACUCCAAUACUGCCUUGAAAUGUUGGUGAAAGUUCUCUAAGACCUCACAACUCUUGCAUUCUUCAUGCAUACAAAACCAGCAUCAUGUGAACAGGGCCAAGGUCUUCCAUCAGCAGUAGUCAGGUCUACUUGAACCAAGGCUAUGAUGGCCUGGAAGACUAACCUGCCCCAUCAGUGAUCCCUGAUUUGAAUAAGUCAUACUGGUUUGGAAUGAAUGAUCCAAAAGCCAUCUUUAUCUUACAUGAAAGUUCCUGUCAACACUGACCAUAAAUAUAUUUAUUGUUCAUAUGAGAACAAUAUAACUGCUAAAAAUUUUUUUUUGCAGGAUUAAGAAGGCUCCUGUAAGUAUGAAAUAGAAGAUAAUCAAUUGAUAGGUGGAUCUUGCAUGAUUAGGGAAAAAGCUUUGUUAUGAAAAAAUAAUAAGUCAAUAAGCAUUUUACACCAGGGCUGAUGAUGUAACUCAGUGGUAGAGUACUUGCUUAGUAUGCAAAAGGCCCUAGGUUCAAUCCCAUUACCAAACACAAGAAAACUUCAAAGUGGACUGAUGUGUUUAAUGUGCGUGAGGCCCUAGGUUCAAUCUCCAGCACUACACACAUACACACAUGCAGACAUGUGUAGACACACAUGCACAAAACAACUUAAGCCACUAUUUCUUGGUGUUUUAGUUUGGAUCCAGAGUGUCCCCUAAAGUCUUAUGUGUUGAAGGCUUAGUCACCAAUGCAGCAGUGUUCAGAGGUGGGGCCUUUAGAAGGUGAUUCAACCAUGAGGGCACUGACCUCAUAAGUGGAUUAAUCCAUGUAUGGAUUUAUGGCUUAAUGGGUUUGGGGGAAGGGACUUUGUUAUAGAAGCAAGUUUUUCUUUGCUUCCUAGCCACCAUGGAGUGAGUAGCUUUGGUCCAUCACGUGCUCCAAGCGCACAAAGUUUACCUUGACACAGGCCCAAAGUGAUGGUGCCAGAUGAUGAUGGAUGAGAACCAUGAACAAAAAUAAUUUUUUCCUCCUUUUAUGUUAAUUUUCUCAGGUAUUUUGCUUACAGUGAUGAAACGCUGACUAAUAUGGAAAAUUAGUUCUAAGAAGUAGGGUCAUUGCUGUGACUUUACCUGACAAUGUGGUUCAGAAGUCUUUGGAAUUGGCUUGCAGGAGUAAUUCGGAAAAGCUUGGAGAAGCAGACUAGAAAAUUCUUAGAAUGCAGAGUGGAGCUUAAUGAAUGAGCUCAGAAGAACAGAAUACUAACAGGAAUGCUGAUAGUAAAGGCUGUUUUUCACAAGGUUUCAGAUGGAAAUUAGGAGUGUGUUGGGAAUUAGACUACAGGCCCUUUUGUUACAUUCUGGCAAAGAACUUGCCUCCAUUCUGUGCAUGCCCUGAGACUUUGCACUAGGCUGAAGUUAAAGGUAAUUAGUCUGGUGGAGUAAAUUUCAAUGCAGUACAGCAUUCAGGCACUAUGGGUAUUGCUGGCCACCUUUAGCCAGACUUAUAGUGAGAAUCAAAAACAAAAAGCAGAGCAGAAAGAUUUGAAAAACUUGCAGUUUUUCCAGAAAAGGAUUGUGUUUAAAGUCACAUGCAAGGAGGCUAUGCUUGUUAAAGAGAUCAAUGCCUUUUAAAAGCCAAGUACUUUGCACUGGGACAUUAAGAAAGAUGUCUUGGAGCAGCUCAGGAAUCAACAAGACACUCCCACUUUAGGCUCAAAGACCUUAGUUCGAGAAGUGAGCCCCAUGGCAUGCAGUUGCACAGAACUGUCUGGGGAAUUAUUUCCCCAGGAUUCAUUUCCCCAUAUUCAGUCAUCCAUGCAAUCAGAGGCCACUACUACUCAAACUGGUUUGAGACCUUGGCAUUGUCCACAUAAUGCUGAUUUUGUAGGCAUACAGAAUGCAAGAGUGGUGGUGACUUAAAGACUUCCACUGACAUUUCAAAGAAUGAGGCAAGAUUGGAGUCCCUGCAGCAUUCCCUGAGAGGAUUAUCUCUGGGACUCAAUGACUCUUAAAAAAAAAAAAAAAGCAUACCCAAUGCUAAACAUAUUGGCAAACUAACAACAGCUUUCUUCUUUGAUUUAUUUAAAAGAUAAUUUUGUUUUAUUGUAUGAACCAAAUUUUUUCAAUAUUUUAUUUUUUUUAGUUGUAGUUGGACACAAUGCCUUUAUUUCACUUAUUUUUUUUAUGUGAUGCUGAGGAUGGAAUCCAGGGUCUCGCAUGUAUGAGACUAUCGCUCUACCACCGAGCCACAACCCCGGCCCUGUAUGAACCAAAUUUUUAGGGUUGGCCACUAACCUGAAUAGAAAAAAAUCUUGGAUCUCAAAGACAGCAUAAAACAUUAUUAAUAUCUGCUAUUAACCAUUUUAGUGAACUUCCUGAAAUGGCAGUUACUAGACUCCUUAUCAUCUUGGAUAGGUGGUCAUGGACUUUCAUAUACCUUUGUGCUCCAAGCAUCUCUUAUAGUGGUCUUCUCCUAGCUUCAUGACUCUGAUUACUGAUUUUCAGUAUUACCAGUGGGGAUAUGGUCACUUACCAACCUCUGAGGUCAGUGUUUUUGCCAUUCCUUCACUCUAAUUGUUGCCACAUUGAGAUGAGAAAUGCCUCCUUAUAUCAGUAAAGAAGUGGGGGGCGGGAUUCAUCAGCUUCUUUCACAGUAAACUAUUGUGUCUGCUUCACUCUCAAACUUGACACUUCUCUCACUCCUCUCUCCAGGAAUUUGGAGAGAAGUUCUGAAAAGUCUAUGUCAAGAAAGUUGCCCAUAGUUCCACUCAGAAUGACUCCUCCUCUGGCAUUUAGGGUUUGCAACUUACUGUAUUUACACCUCUAUAAAACAUAACUCAGUCUGGUAGUACUUAUAACAAAGGAGAUUAUUUCUCACAAUUCUGGAGGCCCUAAAGUCCAGGAUCACAAGGCACUGGCAGAUUUGGUUUCUGGCAAGUGCUUUGUAGGGCCCAUUUCCCUACACAGUGGAAUAGGCAAAGCUGCUCCAAGGAGCCUCUUUUUAAAGGCACCAAUCCCCUUCACAAGAGCUUCACCUUCAUGAUCUAUUAUGCCCCCAAAGUCCCCACUCCUAUACUAUCACCAUGGAGUUAAAUUUUCAACAUGUGCACUUUCAGGAUCACAAGCAUUCAGAUCAUAUCAAUAGCCUCUUUUGAAUCUCACUCCUUCAAUUCUAAUCCUUUGUCCAGUAGGGUAAGGGAUAUCUGUGGUUCUCCAGUUGUUUAGGAUGAUUUUAUGGGAAGUGAGUAUAUUCCAAUGCUUCUACUCAUCUUUUCAAAGAGGUUCGUCAGUUUUGAUGUGUACAUGAAAACACGGGCUGUGCGGGCUGCAGUUGGUCAUCCCAUGAUGCGCUGGAUUUCAUAGCACCAGGUGCAGCUUCCACCUUUGUUCUUAGAGCCUUGCUUUAUUUUAUCCUCAGGAGUUCUAUAUGAUGUGUCUAUUAGAACUAUUUCCUUCCUAUCUUGUAAGAACUAAGGUAUAUUCUCUCUUGCUGCUCAUAUUUCUCUGAGUAGAAUCAUUAUAAUUUUCUGUUUCCUUUCUGCUUAAAUAGCUUUCCCCUGUGUUAUAUUGCCUUGAUGAAUACCAAGUUCUUAUACCUCCUUUUUGCAUAAACAUUGAGUUUCUCCAUUGUCAAAUGAAAAAUAUCCUUCAUCUUGCCUUGAAAAAACCUUCCAAAACCUCCAUUCCUGCCCUAUCCAUCUUCAUUUCCAGCUUCCCAUGAUACCCAUCUGCUUCCGCCUGGUUGGGUUCUUCUUUUUUGGAGUGUGUCUUUUUCUUACCCUGUGCCAAGCUUGUCUGAUUCCCCAUCAGGGAUGGCUUUUCACCCCUCUCCUUGCUCCCAUCAGUCCAAGUCUUCUUCUUCUUCUUUUAAUUGUUAAUUAACUUUAUUUUAUUCAUUUAUUUAUAUGAAGUGCUGAGAAUCAAACCCAGUGAGGCAAGCGCUCCACCACUGAGCUACAACUCCAGCCAUGUGUACUUUCUUCUUUAUAGGCCCUUUCCUGACUACUUAGGCUGAGUUUAAGCUCAUUCUUUUCUGAAUGAUACUGUAAUUUGCUUCCAAAAUUUUUCUUUUGCCUCAUAAUCGUCAACCUAGCCUAAUUUUCUUAUCUAUUCAUGAAGAUUACAGAUAUUGAAGAAUAUGAUCUGUAAUUUUGACUUUCCAUUCUUCUCUCCCAUUGAUUUUAGCAGAGACGUUUUCCCAUGGAAGGUGCUAAGUAAGCAUUUCUUGAGCAAAUGACCUGCAGCAUCUGUUGGUGAACUAUUCUAUAUCAAAUAUGGACACUUGCCUGUUGUCCAACAAACAGCUUGUCCUUUUUUUCCCAGCUGGAGGGGGUGAGACAGCAUGUGAGUACACAUUGCCCAUUCAGUUGAAUGCUUGGCAUACUUGGAAUUUGCUUGCUGUGGGGAGGUCACCUGGCCCUAGCUUUAGCUCCCUGACACUCUCAUUAGGUAUUUUAGAACACUUUGUCUACUAAUUCCCCUGUGGAAUAUUGUUCAUCAUUCUAUCUGUCUCCAUUAUGUGUUUAAUUUUUAACCAUACUUAUUAUCAGUAGGAAUUAUACCACAUACUUGAAUGACAAAAUGCUUAUAAUGUGUUUGUAAUAUAUAUAUAUAUGUAUAUACAUAUGUAUAUAUAUAUAUAUAUAUAUAUAUAUAUAUGCACUUGCAUUUGAACCUCAAAAUAAUCUUAUGAAAUAUAAGGAGCACAUGAUAUAACUGAUCCUCAGAAAGGAUAGAUGACGGUCAUAGUACAUACAGUUUUCUGGUGUUUUUAUCUAAUUUCAUGCUAUCAUCAGUAGAAACCUUAACAAAUUUUCAUUUGAUAGACAGGUUUUAUUUCUGUUAAGUAAUACUCUUCUCCUUCCAUCAUUUUUCCAUUAAAACUUCCAUUUUGUUCUGGCUUCCCAUGAAGCAGCUAUACCUUAGUGUAAUCCAUUCCUAGCCUCCAUGUUUCAUGAUGCAAAUCCCUUCUCUCACUGCUGAUGAUAUAGCAUAGAGUUGGACAAAUUUCUUCUAUGAAGAACCAGAGUGUAUACAUUUUAAGCUUUUCAGGCCCUAUGGUCUCUAUCAUAACCACUCAACUCCCGUAAUUGUAGUGUCAAAUCAGCAAAAGCACAGUACAUAAAUAAGUGAUGUGGCUGUGUUCCAACAAAACUUUUAUGAACUUUGAAAUUUGAAUUAUAUAUGUUUCAUAAAACAUUCCCUUUGGCUUCUUUUACAAUCAUUUAAAGAUGUCAAAAUCAUUCUCAGCUUACAGGCUUUACAAAUGCAGGUGGCCAGCCAGAUUUGUCCUGCUGACUAUAGUUUGUCAACACUUUAUAUAGUAUAUUUAUUAAAGGAGAGCCUAGAUAUAAACCAGGGUACUUUAAUUAGAAGCAAAACUGGCUUGAAUCCAGUUCUACCUGUGGAAUUUCAAAGCUGUUUCUAAGUUUCCUGUUUAGGGUAGACAGGCUCUUGUGGCUUCCCUUACCUUCUUCCUUAUGUCAGAGCCUUUCCUGUAAUUUGUGGAUCCUGCUAUGAAAUACAUCCCCUUAACUGAGUCCCCCCAAGUACACCCCCACCCACACAAGUCUUCUUGAGCAAAACUGACCUUACUGAGAAAUUGAGUGGAAGAUUUGUCACGAAAACCCAAGCAAUGUCUAGUAGAACUGUGAUGUCGCGCUUCUUAAAAUGUCAUUCUAUCACUUCACUGCUAUUUUUUUCCUUUUUUCCAACAAAUAAAGAAUAUAUCUUCUUUAAGAGAACUGAUCUAAGUUUUUACAAAAGUGGUACCUUUUCUGCCCUUUUGAAUGUUAGGUAUUGUGUUAGUCAGCUUUUCCUACUGUAAUCAAAAGUCCUGACAAGAAUAAUUAGAGGAUAAAAAUUUUAUUUGGUGAUCAUGGUUCCAGAGAUCUCAAUCCAUAGACAGCUGAGUGAAUUGCUCUGGGUCCAAGGUGAGACAGAACGUCAUGGUGGAGAAGUGUGGUGGAGGAAAGCAGCUCAGGACAUGGUACCGGGUAUCAGGGUGAGACUCCAUUCACCAGAGAUAAAAUAUAAACCCCAAGGUCACACCUCCAUUGACCUACCUCCUCAGUUAUACACUGCUUACCUUCAGUUACCACAUAGUUAAUCCCUGUCAGUGAAUUAAUGCACUGAUUAGGUUAAGACUCUCAUAACCCAAUAAUUUUACCUCUAAACUUUCUUUCAUUAUCUCACACAGGAGCUUUUGGGGAACAUCUCAUUUCUGAACCAUAACAGAUAUAUUCAUUUGUUCAUUUAUUCAACAUGUACUUUUUGAACAUCUACUACAGUGCUGUCCAAAGUAACUUUCUGUAGACAUAGAAAUAUUCCAUAUCUGGGCCAUCCAAUACAGUAUCCUCUAGCCGCAUGUAACCUUUGAGCAUUUAAAAUGUGGAGAGUGAAACUGAGGAAGUGAAUUUACACUAUAUUUAACUUCAGUUAAUUUACAUUUUGAUAGCCACAUUUGGCUAGUGCUGCCACAAUGGGCAACACAGAUCUAACGUGCAGGCCAGUAAGAUGCUGUAUGAGGCUCUGCUAAUUCUUGGUUCCUAAAACUUAGGACAAGGUUGGUACUGGCCCUCACUGCCACUGUGCCAGACUUAAUUAAAACUUUGCAGUUUAUCGUGGCUUUCUUAUAAUUAAUAACUCCAAGCUUUUAUGCUUCACAUCUGUCACGUAGCUGAGGUUAAUCUCUGGCUUUUACGAUUUUUUUUCUUUUCCACUUCAGUUGUACAUGAAUGCAAAGGUUCUUUUCCCCCAAGAGCACAUUCCUUAUUCCAAGCACAUCUUUAGCUAUGUGUUCAAAAGUUCUAUCAAUUCCAGCUGUUUUUUCACCAAGUAUAGAAACACAACAGCUGGCCUUUGUUUUAAAUGCCUCCCCAUGUGGGCUAAAUAUUUCAUCUUAUAUACCGUUUUGAUAUGUUGACAUGGGGAUGAACAAUAUGGAAACUAUCCUAUGGAAAUAUUGAUGCUUUGUAACCAAGAUGAUUGAUCCAGCCACAUUAGGAGGGAUGUGAAAUAGAGGGAGGAAAUUUCUCUGAAAUGUGCAUGGCCAUUUAAUUACUGUAGGCAAACAGUCUCUAAGGCUGUGCAGCCAGCUUUUGGAACUGUCACAAGAAUAAAAUUAACCUGUGUUGUAUAGCACAGUUGGAACCAUUGUUGCCAGGCCACUUGGUACAUCUUGCCAGAGGAUGUGAUAUUCAAAUAUGCAUGGGUCUUGGAAAAGCCUAGAUUUAUGACCCUAGCGGUCAUAAAUUUAGAGGCUAAAUUAGUGUUGGAAUUCACUAUAAAAUUGUGAGAAAAUGACAAGGUGUUGUCUAAGAGGUCUGGUAUGUUAAGAAGACUAACUAGCUCCAGGCUUCCCUAGAUACUUGAUUCACUUAGCAAGUGGUAGAUGUAUAGAGUUCUAGAAUUCUUCAAGACAAGAGAUAAUGAUAAAUCCUCUCCAGAUUAGAAGACAGAUUAAUUAUAAAACAUCUAGUUUGGGGUUGGAGGUGUUGUUCAGUGGUAGAGCAUUUGCCAAGCAUGUGCAGGGCCCUGGGUCUGAUCCUCAGCAAUGAAAAAUUAAUCUAGUUUGGAUCUUAUCAUAAUUAUAUGAUUAUAUGUCACUUAACAAUUAUUAAUUCCCUUUGUUCCCUGAAUUUUGAGGCUUCCAUCCCUAAGGAGGAGCCAUGUCCAAAGAAGUCCUCUCCCAGGCACUAUGACCAGCCCACAUACUUCCAAGGAAUGGAGGUGCCCUGAAAGAACUGAGAGGCAGGGCAGAGGUGAGUACUAAAUGCCAUUUAUCAGUGUCACAAGCAUGAUAAAUGCAGUCCUCCACUGUAAGCAGGGAAAAACUCAGAAACAAGAAAUUCUUACAGAGAAUGAUCAGGAAAGAUGAGCUCAAAUUAAAAAAACACUAAAGAAAAAAGAAAUAAAUCACCAAAUCAAGAGUUCCGACUCAACAAAAUGAAGAAUUUGAGGCUAGAUAGAAAAGAAUAAAUAUGUUUAAUGGACAUAAAGAAAUAUUUAGAAGUAUUAAGAAAUGAAGAGGACCAAGAUAUGUACAAAAUGACCAGGAAAGUUAAAAUAAAGCCUGUCAAAUAGAGAAAUAUGUAAUGAUUGCAAUGGAUAACUUAAUAGCAGUUAGACCUAGCUGAAAGGAGAUUUGUGAAUGAUAAAUUAGGAUCUAAAAGAAUUAUAUAAAGUAAAUGAUAAACAAGAUAAAAUGUUUUUUAAAAAGUUUAGUGUAAGGAGGUUUAACAAUAUUCAAUUUAUAGUUUAAGAAGGCAACAGAAUGGAGGAAAAAUGAUAUUCAAGAACAUACUGAAAUUUUUCCAAUAUUGUAGGAGGGCGUAAAUUCUCAGGUCCAGAAAACACAAACAAAUCUAAUAUGAGAAAAAUAAAAAUAGUUUUUACUUAUAUCCAUUGAUAUGAAAGGACUCACAGAAGUUUAUAAAAUGAUCUAUGAGGAUCCAAAGAUAAAUUAUAGUAAAACUAGAAAAACAGGCAACUUCUCAACACAAUCAAUGAAUGCUAGCUAACAGUAGAAAACAGUGAAAUAGUAUCUUUAAAGUGAUGAGAGAAAAUAACUAUCAACUUAGAAUAGCAUGCUCACAGAAACUCUUUUUUAGAGCGAGCAACAUAAAUAAAUUUCAGACAAAGCCAAGAAUAUCCAUUAUAAGUUAUCUACGUACUCUAAAAAUAAAUAACAUACAAAGUAUAACUUAAAGAGUUACACAUCAUCCUCAGUGGACAUAUAUUGUGUCCAUAAUCAGAAAGCAAAACUGCUACUCAUGUGUAAGACUGUGAGUAAAGGAUGCUUUAGAGAAAAGAGACAAAAGGUGCUCUCCCAUUUUAGAGUGAUGAGACCAGUGACUAGCACAGGACCUGGUAGAGGACAGAUGGUUGCUUGUCUGCAGACAGAAUAUGUAUCUUCAUUUACUUUUUUUCUAUUUGACACUUCCCUUUUCAGCACCCAUGUUAGCAUGUCAUUUUCAAAAGCCACCAAAUAUAUCAAGGUGUUGUUUAUCUACUAAUGGCUAAACUGGCUUAUCUCAGGUUAGGAAUUAAUAAGUGUUAUUUUAAAUAAACCUAGUGUCAGUUUACUUUGAAAGAUUGCUAAUAGUGCAGUAGGCAAGAGAGACUUCAAAUGCCAAUCCAUAGGUAACAACUUAUGUCUAAUUUUAUGAGCGUCAAUAAAUAUCCAAGAUAUUAUAGUUUUGAGAAUUCUCCUUUGCUGUGGGAACAAAUUAUUUUAAACUACAUUUUGGCCCAAGCUCAAAUAACACUUCAAAGAGCAAGGGAUAGUGUGGUAAAACAAUUGCUGCCUGGUGAUCUGAAGAAUUGGGUUCUAGCCCAGCUGCUCUUUGGCUUCACCCUGAUCACCUGACACAGUGUGUUAGUCAACUUUCCCUCACUAUAACAAAAUAGCUGAGAUGAUUAACUUUUGAAAAAGAGAGGUUUUAUUUUGGCUCACAGUUUUGGACAUUCUAGUCGAUGACUGAUUGGGCAACACAUUAUGGCAAAAGCUUGUGGCAGGAGCAAAACCACUCAUCAGGAGCAGGGAGCAAAAAGAGGAAGAAGAAGGGUCCAGGGUUCCACAAUCCCCUUUAAGGAUAUACCUCCAAUAACCUAAAGACCUCCCACUAGGCCUUACCUCUUAAAGCUUCCCUCACCUCCUAAUAUCAUCACCCUGGGGACCAAGCUCUAACACAUGGGGCUCUGGGGUAUACUGAAGAUCCAAACUAUAAUACAUAGAUUCUUAAUUUCCAUCUGUGAACUAUGGGUCUUGAACUAAGUCAUCUUCAAAGGAUAUAGGACUGUUACCAUUCUGUAUUUUACUACAAGAAUAAUUUUUAAAACAGACCUAUUGUUCACACCAACAAAAAAGCUAUAAUAAUACCUUUAACUGUGUCUUCAGAAACAUUAUGGAGGGGGGUCCUUGAGUCUCACUAUUAUCUGAGUGCACUAUCAGGGCUGAUUUAACCUUUAAACACAGUGGGCACUAUGGCCCAUGAUACUUAUAGGGGUCCAUAGAAAUUUUUUAAUUGUAGUUGAUUUUAAAAAUCAGAAGAAAAAAUAUGAACAUAAUAAUAAUGAAUACAGUUGAUAAAUAUGCAGGCUAGAUUACAUUUCAUACCAACUCAGUCAUAAAAUUUGAUUUUUAUGACUUUUUAAUGGAGAAAAAUGCCUAUGGGUCAUAAUGCAGCUCUAUCUACUGUCCUGAUGUAGAGGAAUUUAUAAAACUUCAGAUUUGAUGAAAACUAGCUGAGUCUGUAAGGGUCUCUGCAUUCUAGGACCAGUAGUUGGUACUUGGUGGCUACAUGUAGAUAUAAAGUUACAUUUUGAGAGUAAAACUAGUAAAAUGAACAUGAUGAAUGAGACCAAUAAUUUACAAAAAUGACUUUAAAAUAUAUGAAGUCUCCUGGGAAGAGUAAAGUUGGGAUAUCCAUGAUAGAGCUGUAACCAUUAUUGAGCAUCUAUGAUGUGCCAGGUGCUACACUGUGUGGUAUGGGCACAUUCGUGCUUAGUCUCUAACACAGCCUUGUGAGUUAGCAUUAUCAUGAACCCAUGUAUAGAAGGAUUUGAGGCAUGAAAACAUUAGGUUAACUGACUUAACGUCACCUGUUUGGUAAAGUGGUAGAAAGAGGGUUUGAGCAUAGAGUUUUAUUUGGAAGAUUGCAAAGAUGCCCCCAACAAAAGCCCCACCCCUGUGGAAGCACACUAAUGCCUCUGUGGCGUUAGCAGAGCUCAGCGAGGCUGGGCAGGACAGCAUGGCACUGAGGGAGGAAGAGCAGAGACAAGGUGGCUCCAGGUGGAUUACACCUAACCAUGAACACCAAAAGUCAAGGCUGAUGGAAGAAAUUGUAAACUUUUUUACAGCCAUAUUAGAUACAAACCUCUUCAGACACUCACCAUUCAAAUCCUCUUAACUCUGCAAAUCAGCAUGAUUUCCAGGUAAAUCACUGUCAAUGGGCUUUCAUGAGGAACAUCUGAAAAAAAUUUGUAUUAAUAAUAGACUGACAGUUGUAGAAAUAAAAUCCAAGUUUCCAAUGGUUGCUGUGUAAGAGAUCGAAAAACGUUGAAAUUGGUGAUUAAGAAUAUGAACAAGUGACCAUUCCCACAGACUGAUGGGAGUCACAAAAGAGAGGAUCAUCUGGUGACGAGAUGUCAGGACUGAAGUGGAGAAGAAAGAAACAAACAAGAAGACUGCCUUUCGCCAUGCUGCUAAGGGUUCUAAGAGUCCUAGCAAGAUCACAUUGGAAGCUAUAAACACUGUGCAUAGUGUUUAUAGUUUUUAGUAACUAAUUAUACACAAGUUAAUUCAGAGUAAUUUGUUUAUAGCUCUUAAUUCAUAUGGUCUUCAUGAAGUUAUUCUGUUUGUUAUUAUUCCUUUUGUGAACUUUAUUAAGGAUUGAAUUAAUGAGAUUCUCCAGAAUUAAUGUCUAUAUCAAAUUGACCUUGAUUGGUGUAUUUACCAUGCUUUUUAUUUCUCUGAUGCUUUGACGUCUUAUGACUUUGCUGCCCCUGGAGGAAUGCCCUUCUCAAAGUUGGCGCAUUUCAAGAGAUAAAAAACUACUCAGCCAUGAGUGUGUCAAUCACCUCAAAGUGUAUACCCCUACCACCAACCAUUUCUUUUAUUUGCUGUCUCACUCUUGGCCACUAUGCACCUGCCCUAAUCACCUCAGAGUUAAGCAGCAGACAGCAGGGAACAGUUCCUAUACCCCAGAGCCCUGGGAACUUCUUCAAACUAGUCCAUUGUAGGCAUGCUGACCCUGCCUCACCAGUUCCUCCCCACAAUAAAGGCUCUUGUCCACAUUUCCUCCCCAGCUCCUCUGCCUCCUAAACGACUUAGAUGCCUCCCCAUCUUUACUUCCCCAUAGCAUGGUGUGCCCCCUUCUCAUUGGAUCUCCAAAAAUAUCAAUCUACCUUUUCUCUUUUAUGGUGCUAGGGAUGGAUGCAACUCAGGGCCUCACCCAUCCUAGGCAAUUGUGCUAAUACUACCCCAAGCACAUGGUCUAGCUUUUCCAUCACAGUUGUCUCCUGGUUUGUGAGCCUUGACAUACCUAGAUAAUAACCUAUAUUGCAAAGUAAAUAGUAAUUAUCUCUAAGAUACUGGCAGGAAAACUAAGUUAGAUAGAAACUCUCUUCACUGUAUUAGAACCUCUCUUUCACUGUCAGCUUGGGUUGCCAUAAUAAAAUACCUUCAGUCCUCAAUAUACUAUAGCUCUUAAUUCAUAUGGUCUUAAUUCAUAUACAAUAAACCAUUAUUGGUUUGCAAGUUUGACUUUCAAUGGUAUGAAAGUGAUACUCAUUCAGUAGAAACUGUACUUGGAAUUUUGAAGCUGAUCUUUUCCCAAGAUACUGAUACAGGGUUGGGGCUGGACUGAAACCCAGGUCUGCGCCCCCGAACUAUGCCCCGGAUACUGUAUAUCCUCUAGUGUAAUAAAGGGGAUUCCCCCAUGUAUUACUACACAGAGACCUGUGUGACUUAGAUUUCCAGCUCUGGACUCCCUUUGUUUCAAUUACAUGCUUGUCUAGAAGCUUCUGAGGCCUUCCCAAGAUCCUGAUAGAGAGUUUCUCUGUGUGGCAGUGUCUGACCAGUCAUUAGAAAGGAAUAUUCCUGACCACUUAUCCCAGGAUUAAUAAAUUGGUAUUGCAUCCAGUACCUUAGGAAUUUUUGCUUUGCUUUUUUUUUUUUUAAUCACUCAAGCCUAAUAAUAAUUGAGGGAAUACUAAAAAAUUUAGUUCCUGACCCUGGAAAUCUCAUGUGCAGGCCUUGGCUAUAGUGACCAUAACAAUGAACCACCUCAUUAUGCAUUGCCCUCCAUCCUGGCCAGUCUUUCUGUCUCACCCCUUUUGGCCUGUCUCAGGCACCAUGGAAUUCUUCUGACAAGGUCCCAAUUGAUUUUGCCACCUAUGUUAUUAUAUGGACUUAAUGUGGAUCUGUGUUAAUAUUCUUUCUGACAUUGAAAUAAAUUAUCUGAACAGCUAUGCCUUUCAUUCCAAUGAAAAGUAUUAAAUGUGGGCAUUAUUCUUGAUUUUUUUAUGAUUUUAAAUUUCUCAGUAUUAUUCAUAGGAAACCAGGGAUUCGUUUCUGAGUAAAGAAAAGUGGGAUUAAGGGAGAUUUCUUUAGAAAUCCUGUAACUGCUUGGGAAGAAAUCUUGGUGUUGGUAGGACAUCCCUUAUCCAACAUACUUUGAACUAGAAGAGUUUCUGAUUUCUGAUUUUCAUAGUAGAAAAUUCCAAGCAUGUUGCAAAGGGACCACUAGGUAAGCACAUUAGCAGAGAUAAAAGGCAGACAGAUGCCAAUCAAGAGAAUGGGGGAUAAGACCCUCCAAACAGGGGUCAGAGGGCUAGGAAGGCAGAAUGAAUCUAGGAAACCAGCUCAGUGUGCUUUCCAUGGACUUUUAUUUUUUUUCCCCUGAAGCACAACUAUUUCAUUUCUCUGAUUGUACAUGAUGCAGCAUCACACCAUAUGUGCAGUCACACAUGUACCUAGGGUAAUACUGUCCAUCACAUUAAACCAUCUUUCUGUCCCCAUGACCCCUCUCCCCACCUUUGCCCAAAGUUCCUCCAUUUUUCCCAUGCUCUCCCCCAUUAUGGCACCACUGGAUAGCAUUAGCAUUUAAAUAAAGCUAGGCUUGGUGCCAGUUUUCAGAGAAGGUUUUCUGUCCUUUUUGAGGGGGAACGGGAAAGCCUUCUUUGUCAGUUGGUCCCAACACUGCCUGGCAAUGGUAGGGAUUACAUAAUAUUUGUAGAAUGAAUAUUCAUUUGCCUCUGUGGGCAAAUGAAGGGAAAAGUCCUCAUCCAAUCUAUUAUAGAAGCUAACUGCAUUGCCCCCCAAUCUAUUAUUAUUACUAUUUGCAGUACUGGGGAUGGAACUCACAUGCUACGUGGUAAGCACUCAACCACGGAGCCACACUCCUAGCCCUUGUACUCAAAUUUAAAUGAAUUUUAAAAUCCGAUAUUUUUGCAGAUAGAAAUGGAAAUUAUGUCACCUUUAUAAAGUUAACCUUUUACUGGAAGGUUUCUUAAAGUCCAGACACUGGUUUAUCUGGAAUAACACAGAAAAAGUAUACAUAAUCACAACUUUUGAUUUCUUUUUCUCAGUGCUCCACCUUGAGUUUCAGCCACACAUCAUGGUUUCUUGUUCCUAAAUUAUCAUCCUGGUUAUGCCGUGACACAAACUGGCCCCUCUGCUUGGAAAGCCCUUGCCCACACUCCACCUGCUGAAAUUCUACUCUGAUUUCCAUGCUCAUUCCAAGAACCAACACUCUCAUGGCAUUUCCAUUCAUCAGAAUUGAUCUUUCCAUGGUGUCUUCCCACAGAUUCUGUUUUUUUUUUUUUUUUUUGUAGAGAACACAUUUCCUACUUCCUAAUUAUAAGCUCCAUGAGUAAAAGGACCAGAGCUAGACUCUGUACUUCCUAGUGUUCUCAGCCUAAUAACUUGCCUUACAGAGAAUAUUCUCACCUUUUCUCCCUGAGUACCACUUCUAGCAGAGGAACACGGGCCUUUGGAUUGCUUUGAGAUGGAAUUUCUUUGAAACUGUGCUUUAUCUUAGAAAUUCAUGUGAAUUUUACAGUGAACUCCAUCCUUUUCUAGUAGUAAUUCAAUGUAAAAAUGCUUGAAUGGAAGGCCAGUCAUCAUGGUGUAUGCCUAUAAUUCCAUGUACUUGAGAGGUUGAGACAGGAGGAUAGUGAAUGCAAGGUCAGCCUGGGAAACAUGGUGAGACCCCAUCUCAAAAAAAAAAAAGACUCCUUUGUAAAACUUAUAUUUCAGAAACUGCCACUGUUUAUGCUUUAAUUAGUUAGAUCUCCUAGCUAUGACCCUGGGGAUACACAGUCUUAGUUGAAGCUUUAAAAUGUUUAUUGAACAGAAUUAAACAAAUGUAAUAUAAAGUGAAGUGUUUGUUCCAAAUACCAAAUAAUUGAGAAAAUAGAGUCAAGUUAUAUAGAGGCAGCUUAUCUCCAAGAAGAAGCCUAGAAUAACAUUUCAGAGAAUUAUUUAAACUAGCACAAGACCCCUGGCAAGCUUUGUACUCAAUGGUUGCUGAUGUGUCCUUCUUCCUCCUCCAGUUUUCACAUUCUACCUGUGAAAUGCAGGGCAGUCAAUUGCCCUAAAACACUGCCUCUCCAAAGGAGAAGUGCCCCUUGGUUCCUACUUGUGAAGAUAUUUUAGCCUAUGAGUUUUUGGAUUCAUGUUUAUUUUCAUGAUUGCAUUAGGGAAAAAAUGCUUUAUAUGCUUUUAGCUGACACCUAGUAUUAAUAUCUUGCUGUGGAAGAAAUAUAAUUCAGUUUUAAUGAAUGUGCCUAAUAAAGAUAUUUUAAAUGGACUGGAGAAAUACCAGAUUCAUAAAAAGCCUUAGGAAAUAGGUAAAUUGCUGAAUUUGAAUGUAAAUAAAUAAAAGAUCCUUGAAUGUUACCCUCUGCUAAAAUAGAUACUGAUGUUAAGGGACUUGAAGAAAUAAUUUCUUUAACUACAUCCUUAUGGCCCAUAAGAUGCUAAAUUCCUCCCCAAAUAAAUAUCUCUAUGAUAACAUAAUAGUCAUGGAAGCCAGCGUAACAAAGAACUCUGUGGACUCUGUAUGGGCCAAUGCAUUCAUGCAAAACAAACAAACAAAAACAGGUGCUCUUCAUUUUAACUUUUAACAAUAGUCUGAUUGAUAAUGGCAAGUUAGCCAUCUACCUGAGCACAGAUGUGACUUCUGUCCUUGCAUCCUUCCUGUAUCCUGGCAAGAGUCAUAUUAAUAUGUGUUGAAUGAAGAAGGGACGUAGACCUCAUGAUGGAAUUUUCUCUCUCUGUAGGAGUACCUCUCCCACACCUCUAAAAUUCUUUGCAUAAUACAGCCUGGUGUCCUGGAACCAGGUGUGAAAACAAUACUUUUAUAUAUUUUUCUCUCCUUGAAUAUUUGUUUAUGUUCCUCCUUUCUUAGCUGCUGACAAAACCAACAAAGAGACAGGAUUUUCUCCAGUCUAGCUUUGACAUUGUAAUGGAAUGCCCUUGCUUCUGUGGCCCCUUUCUUAAUGUUUAUCUAACUGCACUGUUCCUUGCAUGGGGGGCUCUCUGGAACAGCCAUUCUGUCAUUUAGGGCUUGGCUGUCUUUCUCACAUCUCCCUGAUUCCGAGUAUUUUCUGUUGCACUUGGGCUGAAAUUGUGUAUAUGCAGUAAAAUCACUGAACUGAGGAAGAGCUGCCCGCCUGCUGCUCCCACAAGGCACACCGUAUCCGGAAGGGCAACUCAUCAUGGAUGCGAUGAUAUUUCAGUCACGCUGUGACGGUGGCACACAGGUUUAAUCAACUUCGCCACAGAUGCAAUUCACAGUGGAUCCCGUUUGUUUCCCUUAUUAUCAGAAUGAAUACACACAGGAAGCUCAUUUAGCUCCCGCCAUUCCUCAUUUUACCCUCGUGAUAAUCAUUGAUUUUAUUUUCCUGGGUCAGAAAUGAUGAAAUCAAUAUCUAACACGGCAAGUGAUAGUUGCUCACACCUUUUUUAAAAUUUGAAUUCUUUCACAAAUUUUAAACAUUUUACCUUGCAUGUAUUUUAAGGAUUAAGUUUGUGAGCUUAUAGAUUUAAAUGUCAAUAAAGGUAGGAGGAAUAAUCAUGCAUUGAAACUAGCUGCAUUAAAUUUUAAAGUGAGAGCAGUUAUUAUGAGACCUCAAAUGUGGAGGUAUUACAUUACGUAAUUGUUAUGAUCCACUAACUCAUUCAUGUGGUAAUUUUCUCAUUAUUCAUUUGACAUAUAGUAAUGUAGCAGUUAGUAUUUUUUAGAGAGCUUAAAACGUUAGGUAUUGACAUAUAAAAAUGUUCUUAAACUGUCAAACUUUAUAAAAAUAUUUUAUCUGAAUUUUUUUUUGUUUCAAUUAAUUUGUUCAUUCUCAAAAUGUUAGACACGCUGUGUGGGAGCCAAGCCCUGUGCUAAGGACUGUGGAUUCACAGACCAAAAAGAACUAGUCCCUCCUCUCCAGGAACCAGAAACAGAGAAAGGGAGAAAGAAGCAGACAGAGAAAAGGAGAGAAUUGAUAAGGAAGUAAAAAAUGAAGUUAACUCAUCCAUGGAGAUCUAAUGGGGGGUCUCAUGCCCCCUGGGUGCCAUAGAGAGCAGAGGAGGCAGAAACCAGAGAGAAAUGUCAGCUCUGAAAUGACUCAAGGUACUUAGGAAUGUUGAAAAAUCACGGUUCCUGGGACAGGGAUAGUAAGUGACCAAAAAACUUGCGGAAGAAGCAAGACAUAAAAGGCUAUCCAGACCAUUCUCUGGUGCCUGGAUUUCAUCCUUAUAUCAUGGGAAAUCCCUGGCAAUAUUUAUGCUAAACAACUGUGUGUCAAACCAGAACUUUUUACCCUGUACCAUAGUCUAUUGUGUUACUGAAUGAAGUUCAUUCAUAGUAAUGAGAAGUCAAUGGUAGUACAGAAGAUCCUACUGAUUUCCAAAGAUCCUCCUUAUCAUGUCCAUCACUAGCUCUGAGCAUGAUGAGUGCUAUUUUAGACUCAGAAGACGUGGGUAUAAUUGCCAUCCAGUAACUCUGUAGCCUUGGGUAGCCUGGUUGAUUUCUCUGAGAUGCCAUUUCCUUAUCAAAUAGGCAUGAUGAGACCAUACUCCUAAAUUGUCUCACAGGCCUGUGAUGAGAAUCAGAUAAAGUGAUGUACAUGAAUCAGUUUUAAGACAGUGAAGCAUGACACAUGAAGAAGGUGUUAUUAUCAUCAUCACCAUUAUUAAUAAUAGUAUUUAAGAGAUAGGUGAACCUGAAUUACUUGGCAAUUAAUAAUCAGAAACAGUUUUCUCAGAGAUUUUAAAAAGAUUUGAGCUCAGAAUUUUGCCGUGUUGAAGGACAUGGCCCAAAAGCACACUCAAAGUAAAUACAAAAUCCCAGCUCUGUCACUAGUUGGCUGAGGACAUUGGUCAAGGUAUUGAAAAUGCAGGUCCUCUGGUUUCCUUAUCCAUCACAUGGAAAUAUCAACAGUGCUUCCCUAAUAGGAUUGUUGUGAGAUAUGAGUCUACAUUUGUGCUCAGCACACUGGUACAGAGUAGGCAUUCCAAAAAUGCUAGCUAUUGUUACAGAGGAACGAUGAUUAGACUGAAUAGACAGACUCAUAGAUGUCACUGGCAACAAUGAAUAACAGAAGGUAAGGCACUACUAUUUUUAACGUACUAAAGGAACAAUAAGUAUCAACCUGAAAUUUUAUUAACUCUAGAUAAAUUAUUAAUCAAGGUUGAGAUGAAAGAUAUUUUCAGACCAAAAUCAAAAGUGUUUACAAACACUUUACAAGUCCUAAAAAGGUUUGAAUUCAUAAGGCUGAGUUAUAGGAAACAAAAUUCAUCAUAAAGAGAUAAAAAUAAGCAUUAAUUAGCAAUUGACUAUGCCACUUCCACUAUUUUUUGUGUUGAAAAAAGUUUUAAUUUAAAUUUGAUAAAAAAAAGGAAGGAAGGAAUUAAUCAAUGGGCUGAAAUAUGGUCUGCGUCUAAUCAAGGACGAAUAUUAAAACACUGAAAAACUUUUUAAACAUUGUUAGAAAAAUAUAGACUUAAAUAUUCCUAUUUUAAAAUUAAGAAUAAUUUUCAUUGCAUAAAAUAUAAUAUACAGCUUCCAAAUUGUCAGGGGGGAAACUGGAAGGAAAAAAAUAAGCGUAAACAGAAAAUACAAUAGAAUGAUAGAAACAAGAUAUCAUUGUUUGCAAUAGCAUAAGACAAUAAACAAUAUAGAAAUCACCAAAAGGAGAAUAGACCAAUGAAUGUUUGUUCAAUUGUUCAAUGGUAAGCAACAGAUUAUGUCAUGUGAAUGAGCUGUAAUAUCUAUUAGUGGUCUGUAGUUGGAAGAAAAAGCAAGUUGAAAGGCCUACACUUGGUAUGAUAAAAUUUAUCUAAAUUUCUAAAGUCUGAAAAAAUGGGAGGAGAAGGGGAAAGGAGAAGUGAAAUUAACCAAAACUCAACAAACUUGUAUAAAAGUAAUACUUUCAUAAUCAAUUGGUAAUUUUUUGUCAUAAUUUCUCAGACUUUCCUCUUUUCAUGAAAGUUUAAAUGAUUUUGUAAUUCUCUGAUUAUUUCACAUUCUUGGGGGGUUUUGUUUUUCAGGGUUUUUUUUUUCUUCUUAUUUCCAAUUCUUUUAAACCAAAUAAGUCAGCCCUGCUCAGACAUGGGCACAUUUCGUUCUCUCUCAUAGCUCUUCAACAAGAGGGGAAAUUGCUGAAUUUAACUAAUAAUAAUUACCUCUACAUUCCAGGGAAUGCUGUUUCCUUUCAUUUUAAAUCCGCCAAAUCCUUGGCCUCACUAUCAAUGCAGUACUGAGAUGCCAACUCAAUCAUAAACUCAGAAUUAUUCAAGCAUGGCUUUAGCUUAAUUGCAAAUCAUACAUUUUCAAAUUGUAAUCUAAUUGGACAGCCACUAACUAUCCAAAAAUAUUAGAUUAAUUAUUCCGUGAUUGUUGCUUUUCUUAAAAAAAGGAUCAUUUUUUUCCUCACAGUUCUGAUUACCUACCUGUUUAGUGAGUAGUAUAAUUGAUUAGUGAUUUCCUAACUCCCCAUUUAGGUUCACUUUUGGGACAGUCUAUUUUCAAAUAGUUCAGAGAAGGUCCAAACUGGAAAAAGAAGGGUUUUAGAAAGACCUGUUUAAGCCCAUUUAACAAAUGAGGAAAUUAAGUUCGAGAAACAAAAUUAACUAUCAAAAGUCACAAAUCAGUAAAGGGUACUGUUAGACUAAAGUUCAUCUCUCUUGGUCUACACUUUUAAUAAUCAUCGUGUUUUCUUUGUUUGUUUUGCAAUACUAGGGAUUGAACCCAAAGCCUGCCUCAUGCAUGCUGGGCAAGUACUUCACCUCCAAGCCAAUCCAUUGCAAAUUUUUAAGGCACUUCAGAAACAUGGGUACUGAGGAAGCAGGGAAUACCAACACAGUUUGGUCCUUCUAUCUUCUCUGAUGUGUUCUUCCAUAUGGCUCAUGUCAGAAGAACUGAGACAGUUGGAAAAUAGAGAAUAUUGAAUGUAGUUUUUUGUAAAGUGCAAUAUACAUUUAUUAAGCAUUCAAUAAAUGUUACAUAAAUGACUUAUUUUAUACUUACAGGAAAUUAAGGCCAAAUACCCUUUCAAUCAUUGUGGCAAUAUUGUUUUAAAACUGAAUGUUUGAUAGUUUUAAGUGAUCAGAUUUCCUGAAAGAAUCCAAUGUCCAUAUCAUAUGUUUAUUUUUAAUAAUCCAGCAUUUUGUCAUUGAAACUUCUCGUGAUUUUCUGCUAUCCAAAUCAAAUACAAAAAGAAAAUAAAAGAUUUCUCAGGUAAGUUAUAAAGAAUAAGUUCAAGUUCUGAACUUGAUCUGAUUGGGUCUAGGAACUGACUUAAUGAAACACCAGAGGAAGAAAAAGAGGUUUUAAAAUUGAAAAAUUUCCAAGUGAGGACAGAGAAAAUAGUAUUUAUAAUUUCUAAUUUAAAAAGUUAAAGAUUAAUUUUUAAAACAAGCUAUAUAAGUGGUAGAAAUACCUGCUUAGAAGGGCAUGGUCAUUGGUUCAAUCCUCAGUACCCCCCAACACCCUCCAAAAAUGUAACGUGGAAUUCCAGUGCUGGCCAAGAUGGAGUAAACCUCCUAUGAUUUGUCUCUUACUAUUAUAACUAAAAUGUAGACAGACUAAAAAAGGUGACCACCUGAGGACUCUGAAAAGCAAACAACAAAAGGCAAUUAAACAAGGAAGCCGCAACCUGAAACACAGGCCUCCAGCACAAUGGUGAGUUUCCAAUAUUUCUCCCCCUUUUAUGGCAGCUUUGACUUGAGGGUGAGCCAAGAAGUCUGGGAACAGUGCAGUAGGUGUGAACAAGGAACUUAACUGCUCUUUCUAGCCAAAGGAAUGGGUGGAGGGUGGGCAGAUCUAGCUGGAGAGUAUAGAGGAUUCCCCUCUGUAAUGAAUUGAAUGUCUGGGUUCUCCCAAAUUCAUAUCCUGAAAUCCUAACCCCCACAUUAGGAGGCAGGUAUUAGAUCAUGAGGGCAAAGCCCUCAUGAUUGGGAUUAGUGUCCUUGUAAAACAAGCCCCAGAGAGUUGAUCCUUCCACUAUGGGAGGAUGCAAUGAGAAAUCUAUAUUCUGCAACUCCAAAGAGGACCCUCAUCAGAAACCAACUAUGUUGACAUCCUGAUCUUAAACUUCCAGUUUUCAGAACUGUGAGAAAUAAAGUUUUAUUGUUUUUAAGCCAUUUAGAAAUUAUUAUUCCUUAUAACAAGAUAAGAUAUUCUUGUCUCCCCUGUUUUUCUCACUGUCUCAAAGCCAACCCAAACAGUGCAUUUGAAAAUGCACAAUGAAGCUAAGCAAAAAACUUGAGGAUCCAACUAUGAUCUGCUCUUUACUGUCCAGGUCCCAAUCAGACUUCUCAGUGGUUCAUGCACAUGGGCUUUGAAUGUGGGAAUCACCACCCACAAAUAAUAAAACAAACUCACUAAAUGAUUCUGUGUCCAUCACCUGAUUUCAAGAUUUACUAUAAAGUUACAGAAGUCAAGAUAGUGUGAUAUUAGCAAAAUGUAGACCCAUGGAACAGAACAAAGAGCUCAUAAAUAGAUCCAUUGAAAUAUGGUUAGUUGAUUUUUGGCAAUGCUAUAAAGACAGGUCAAUGGAGAAAGAAUAGUCUUUUCAGCUGGAACAACUGGGCAGUCACAUGCAUAAGUAUGGACGUUGAAGUAAUAAACCUUCUGCAGAAAUUAAUCUCAAAUUGAUUAUAAACCUAAACAUAAAAUUGGACACAAUAAAACUUUCAGUAGAAAACAUAGGAGAAAAUCUUUAUGACCUUGAGUGGGGAAAGAGAUCUUAGAUAUGCUUUUCAAAAGCAUAACUAUAAAAGAAAACAUUGGUCAAUGGGGCUUUGUCAGAAUUUAAAAACAUUUGCUCCAUAAAAAAAUAAAGUUUUUUUCCUUCUCUUUCCAUGGCUAAAUGUUUGUGUUCCCCCAAAUUCAUAUGUUAUUAUGGUCUGAGACUAAUCAAUAUAGAUUAUAAAUUAUAGAUUAUAUAUAUAUAUAUAUAUAUGAUAUUUAAGCAGAAAAGUAAGAUAAGAUAAAAUAAGAUAAUAGAAAUGAGUACUAUAAGCAAUGUUAAACUGCCUUAGUAAUAAGUUAGAAGUAAGCAUAGAACAUAAGUUCAUCAGGAGUAAGCAUAAGUAACACAGGAUAAUCAACUGUAAGACAUAGGAUCUAACCUACAGGAAAUAAGAUAUAAAACAAUGUAGGUUGAUAAGUAUACAUCAGUAGGCCAGUAUAGUUAUAGAUAAAUAUAAGGCUAAUAGGUUAACAUAGAAAUAGUUAAGGUUAAAUCAAUAUGGCCAAAGACAAAUAUAGCUUGAUAUAGCCAUAGUGAUCCAUUUUUAUGACUCUCAUGUGAAACUGACAUAUAACUUGUUUUUAAGAUGUUAAAAAAAUUGUUUUUCUCUGUUUCAUACACCCAUACUCGAACCCAGGAUGUAGACCCACAAAUGUGCUCUAACCCAGGAUGUGGUUGUGUGCUCUCGCUCUGCUAACUGCUUUCUCAGUGCUUGUAACCUGCUUGCUUGCAACUUGCAGAUUCCAUAGGAUGUGGUUUUCUUCCUUAAAUACUCUGGCUAUAGACAAUUCGGGGCUGUUCUCCCAUAGGGUCACUUGGACUCGGUGAGGGACAGUCUCUGGCCAGAUAAUAAAAGACUCUCAAAUUUGCCUUAAAUUCAGAUUUAGAAUGUUUUCUGAGCAGUUGCCCCAUAACAAUGUUGAAAUCCUAACACCCAAGUGAUGGCAUUAGGAGAUGGGGUACUUUGGAGGUACCAUUAAGAGAAUGAAAAGAAAUGCCACAGACUGAGAGAAAAUAUUUACAAAUCACAUAUAUGACAAUAUAUUUGUACCCAGACUAUAUAUACAUAAAAAAGAAAACUUAAUGCUCCACUAAAGAAAGCAAAAAACUAAAAAAAAGGCAGGGGGGCAAUUUGAAUAGAUACUUCACCAAAGAAGACAGAUGAAUAGACAUCUGAAAACAUACUUCAUAAUAAUUGUUUAUUAGAAAAAUUCAAAUUGAAAACACAAUGAAAUACUAUUAUGCUCCUAUUAGGAUGGCAAAAAAAAAAGUUUUUGAACAAUAUUAAGUGUUAGCAAAGGUAAAGAACAGGUGGUAAUGUUAUAUAUUGUGGUAGUCACACCAAAAAAUAGUUUGCCAGUUUCUUAUGAAACUAGACCUGCAAUAACUGUUCAUCUCAGCAAACCUACUCCUGGGUAUUUUACCCAAGAGAAAUGAAACUUAAGUUCACACAAAAAUCUGUGCUGCUAUAUAACAAAAUAUCUGAGACUGACUGAUAUAUAAAGAACGAAAGAUAGUUUCUGACAGUUCUGGAAGCUGAUAAGUCCAAGAGGUUUGGUCUGGUGAGGACCCUGUCUGCUUCCAGGAUGGUGCCUCAUGCCUGCAUCCUUAAAGGGGGUGAAUGUUGUGUCUUCAUGUAGUAGGACUGCAUAAAGACCAAGCCCCAGGGAAGUCUUUUUUUAAGGACCUUAAUCCCAUUCAUGAGACCUCCUAAAGGCCCCACGUAUUAAUACUAUUACAUUGGUGAUUAAACUUCAACAUAUGAAUGUGGGAGGACACAUUCAGAUUAUAAUACAAUUUAAUUCAUAUUCACCCCAAACUGAAGAAAACACAAAUGAUUUUACCUGUUGAAUGGAUAAAUGCACUGUAAUUCAUUCACAUUAUGAAAUAUUACUCAACAAUGAGAAAGAACAAACUGUUGCCAGGUAUGGUGGUCAUGCCUAUAAUCCUAGUGAUUCAAGAGGCUGAGACAGGAGGAUGGUCAAGUUUGAGGCCAGCCUCAGCAGCUUAGUGAGACUGUCUCAAAACUAAUAAAAAAAAAAAAAAAGAAAGAAUUGAGGAUGCAAUUUAGUGGUAAAGUUUGUCUUUGGCACCAAGACAAACAAACAACAGCAACAAUAACAAAAAACAAAGAAAGAAAAGGAAACAAACUAUUAAUACAGUCAAUAAGAUGGAUGAACCUCAACUAUAUUAUAUUAAUCCAGGGAUCAGCAAACUUUGGUUUGCAGGCCAAAUCCUGCCAUCUCUAUUUAUUUAGGUAUUGUCUGUAGUCCUAGUGACUCAAGAGGCUGAGACAGGAGGAUAGUCAAGUUUGAGGCCAGCCUCAGCAGUUUAGUGAGACUCUAUUUCAAAAUAAAGUGGUAAAGACAAACAAACAACAGUUUUCAUGCUACAAUGGCAAAUUUAAGUAUUUGUAUCGGAGAUAAUAUGAUUCCCAAAGUUGAAAAUAUUUACUAUCUGGCCCUUUACAGAAAAAGCGUGCCAAUCCCUGUGAUAAGUGAAGGGAGUCAGAUACAGAAGCCUACAUAAUCUAUGGUUCCAUUUAUGUGACAUUCUGGAGAAGGUAAAACCCCUGGGAUAGAGAUCACUGGUUCCCAGGGGUCAGUUCGGGUAUAGGAAUUGACUACAGAUGGACAGCAUAAGAACAUUUUUUGGGUGUGAAGCAACUCUCCUGCAUCUUCAUUAUGGUGAUCCUCACACAUCUCCAUUCACUUUCCAAAGCUAAAAGAAACGAUUCAACUGCAACUGCAUAUACAAAGUCUUCCUGUAUAUCAACAAAAAACUGAAUAAAAAAUAAGUGCUAUAAAAAUUGUGUAUGUAUUUGGACAUUUUGGUUGCAAAUUGUAGAAGUUGAGAUGAUUUUUUAAUAGGAAAAAUGGAGAUAAUUCAGUAUUCAGGUAACUGGAAGUAAUACUGCCAUCUAUGACAAAUCGAAAAGAAGGGCUUCAGGAACUGGGUCUGAGAGAAGAGAUCUGGAGAUCACAGGCCUGGACUCUUUCUCUCUGCCUGCCCUCAAGUUCUCUGUGCAUGGUCACUCUCCACUGAUCUCUUUGUUGCAGGGAUCCUGUCCUCUGGCAGUCCCAAUUCAGUAGCCCAGCUGGAAACAGACAACUUCUUUUCCUCUAAACAUUCAUUUAACGACUCAGGGAAGGGCUAUGAUGGGCUCUGCUUUGCCACCAGCCUUGAUCCAUGGCUGUUCUCAUCCCAUUUCUGUGACCCAAGGACCAGGGUCUGCUUUGAGAAGAAGAAUGGAAAGCCUUUUGAGUGGACACAAUCCAUAGCAGUCUCAGUUAACUUUACUUGCCAUCAGUGAAUAUAAUUAACAAUCAAUAUUUUAUUUCUAGUUCAUGUCUAUUUAUAGUUUCACAAUUGUUAUCUUACCCUUUACAAACAUUGAUUUGGAAGGCAGGUUUGAGGUAUUUAAAAGAAAGGUUUUGAAGCAUUUGUCAAGUGGUCUCUGACCUACAGAACAGGGAGCCAUUCUUAAUUAACCAUGAAAAUAUUUAUGUCAGCUUUCAGUGGAUUUCAUUUAAGUAUUAAUAUUUCAAGAAAAAAAUGUUGUAAAAGAAGUGACCUAAUGCUAUAGGUAUAGCCCAAAUAAGAGACAUUGUAUGGAUUAAGACUGUACUGUAGCAACCUUUAUGAUUAAGCUUUUUUCCCUUUGAAGUAUGAGCUUUUAAACAUUUAGGGAAAUUCUUUUUAAAAAUUCAAAUCUAGAUAGCCUCUUGUCAAAAGAGAAAAGAUGCAUAAUUCUAAGGAUUUUCUGAGCAUGGCAUCAAUCAUGACGAUUGAAUUUGGCUUACUAAUUUUCCUGCCUCUGUGAAGGAACUAGAACUAACAUUCUCUUUAAAUGGAAAGCAGACAUACAAAGACCUUAAUUUUCUCUUUUCAUGCAGUGUAUGCUAUAAAGAAAUCAUUAAACAAAGUAUAAAACUCCUUCCAAAUCAAAAGACACAGAAAUUUCAUUAUCUUGUUUUUCUCUUUCCCUUUCUGCAGUGUUAUUGCAAGGGCUCCACCUGAUGGGUUAGCUUAGCCAAGAGAAAAUCAACUACACACUGAUCUCAUGUCCCUAAAUUACCACCCAAUAAGAGGAGGAAGAGAGAAAAAUAAAAGCUGGCUUCCAUUUGCCCAGCCUUCUGGUUCAUCGACCUGGGAACACAGACUGCAUUGGCUGCUCAUUUACAGGGCUGCAUUGAUGGCUUCUCCCCAGGAGGGAACCAUGGAGAGAAUCAUUCACCCUCAAACUCCUCUGAUACUUGGUGCCUGAGGAAGCAAAAGCAGAUAAAGAAAUUGGAAUGAGACUUGCCUGAGAGGAACUUUGAAUCAUUUCAGAGAGGAAUGAAAUCUCAAAUUUUAAAACCUA
rnacentral:lncRNA from 1 species